CAGUAGCCGCGGGAAAACGAAGGGGGCUAGCGUUGUUCGGAAUUACUGGGCGUAAAGCGCACGUAGGCGGAUCGAUCAGUCAGGGGUGAAAUCCCAGGGCUCAACCCUGGAACUGCCUUUGAUACUGUCGAUCUGGAGUAUGGAAGAGGUGAGUGGAAUUCCGAGUGUAGCAGUGAAAUGCGUGGAGAUCGAGAGGAACACUUGUGGCGAAAGCGAGUUGCUGGACAGUAUCUGACGCUGAGGCUCGAAGGCCAGGGUAGCGAAAGGGAUUAGAUACCCCUGUAGUCCCUGUCUCUUAUAC
rnacentral:rRNA from 1 species